GGAGCAUAAGAGAAGAUGAAGGAGCCAUGUGAAGAGGCACAGCAUAUGUUUUCCUCACUCUGAAUUCAUUGCAGGGCUCCUAUGAUACCUACAGCUUCUUCUCAAAGCCCCCAUUCUUAGACAGUAGAUCCAAUCUCAUCAAGGGCGUUGGCAUGCGACAUCAGGACGUUGUGCGACAUCACGUUGGGCCCCCUCAAUUGUCCGGAGAAGCUGGUGCCUCUGAAUCUCACAAUGAGCAGAAGGGAGCUUCUUCAGGGUGGUGUCUUCUGCAGGGAACAGCUUUCUAACUGUGGCACUGAUGGCCAGAAGGUCCACCCUCUCUCCUCACAUCAAUAUCACCAUGAGUGUGGAUGGACUUAGAUCAGCUAUCCUUAUUGCCUUUCUUCAUUUUGUCCCUCAAAAGCAUCCCUGUGUGCUUUUCAAGAACUGCUGCAUACAUGCAAAGGUCAUCAAACAGCAAGUGGCAGAGAGUUAGAGCAGGGCAAUGAAGAUAGCACUCUGUCUACGUUAAAAUCUUGCUGACAUCCCAGUGUUCAUCUGCCAGCAAGCAUUUGAUGCCUUUAAUGACAUAAAAGGAGCUGUGCUGGAUCAUACCAAAUAUGUAUUCUACUGCAGCAUCUGAUCCUACAGUGGCUGUUCAGCUGCCCAAGGUAAGCCCUGAAGCAGGAUAUGAGCACAACAGCCCUUUCCUGCUUGCCUUUUUCUUUUUCUUUCUUUCUUUUUUUGUUAAAUCGUUUUUAUUAAUUUUCCAAUAAAAAAACAUCCAAUUAACAUAUCAAAUCAUAAUCCAAUAAAAAUAAAAAACUAAAAUAAAAAAUACCAAAUUGUCAUCCAAAUUAUAAUUAUUAAUAUUUCAGGGCUUCCCAUAGUCUGGAUGUUGAAGCAUAUCUCCAAAUCUCAGUCCUGCCGUCUUUUUCUUUUUAAUUACUGAUUUUCUUCAGAUAACCAAAACAUGCAUUCAUCAAGCAAACAAGGCACACAUAACAAAACUUGACUGUAAGCUUAGUUCCGGCGCUGCUUGUAAAUGCACAGAAAGAAGGUAAAACCAAAACAAUCGUGGAGAAGAUGUAGAAAUAGUGAUAUGGAAUGCCAACAAAGUUAAUGUAUAAAUUUUAAGCUGAAGGCCAAAAAUGUUUGGGUAUGAUACCAGUCUGUAAUGGAUAAUGGAGAUCUGGAGAAAGAACUGUUCCCUGUUACUGCAAAACAUAUUCGACAAAUGAAAACCAUAUAACCAAGAAUGGUAUUUUAGAUUAAACCCCCUCUAAGUUGUCAGCUACACUCUGUAACUUCUUCUGCAAUCAGUAACUGCCACAACUUAUUCCCUUUAGAGUACAAUGGGAAUGAUAUAUCCAAUGCUGGGCCAUUUGUAGCCUAGCUGCUGUUACUAGGUGGAUGAUUAGAUCCUUGUAUAACACAUUGUGCAUGGUUUCUGGAAAGAGUGAUAGCAAUGUCAGACCUGGGUCUGGAAGAAUAAUUUAUUGCACCAUUGGAAGACAUAGUUUGAAAAAGCCUUUCCUCAAAAAAUCAUAGAAUCACACAAUCAUAGAAUUGUGGAGUUGGAAGGGACUCCAAGGCUAGCCCAGCCCCUUGCAAAGCAGGAAUCUCAACUAAAGCAUUCAUCCAGCCCCUGCUUUAAAACCUCAAAUGAAGGAAAGCCCACAACCUCCUGAGGGAUUCCAUUUUCACUGUCAAACAGCUUUUACUGUUAGAAAGUUAUUCCUGAUCUUUAGUUGGAAUCUCCUUUCUUGUAACUUGAAGCCAUUGGUUCAAGUCUUAACCUCCAGAGCAGGAGAAAACAAGCUCGCUUGUACAACUGGGCAUUGCCACCAUGUAGUGUAAUAUCACCCUCAUCCCUUGCAUCCUCUCUGACAAGUAGCUGGUAAAUUCUCAUUAAAGCUUUACUCACCACCUUUCGUCUGUCAGUGUACCUCCUUCCUCACUCCCAUGUCAUGACUGUUAAGUUGUGGGUGAACAUAUCAGACGACACAGCGAUUCUUCAGACAGCUCUUGUUUAUUCACAGGCCCAGAACAGAACUGGACUGAAGGGUUCAGCCAACCUGCUUAUAUAGAGCUCAACUACAAAGCAACAGUAACAACUUUCUGUAACUAUCCAAUCACUGAACGUCACUUUCAGUUCCUUAUUUGCAUAUGUGGACCUGAGUGAAAACUAUCUACAGUAUCCCCCUGCUGGCCCAGGGUGAGAACUUCAGUACAUAACAAUGACCGCUGGUGUUGUGCAACCUGCCUUCUCGUUUGCUUC